rnacentral:rRNA from 1 species
AAGAAAUUGACGGAAAGACACCACUAGACGUGGAGUCUG